rnacentral:rRNA from 1 species
UCGGGAAUUUUGGGCAAUGGGCGAAAGCCUGACCCAGCAACGCCGCGUGAAGGAUGGAGUAUUUCGGUAUGUAAACUUCGAAAGAAUAGGAAGAAUAAAUGACGGUACUAUUUAUAAGGUCCGGCUAACUACGUGCCAGCAGCCGCGGUAAUACGUAGGGACCAAGCGUUGUUCGGAUUUACUGGGCGUAAAGGGCGCGUAGGCGGCAAUUCAAGUCAUCUGUGAAAUCUCCGGGCUUAACUCGGAACGGUCAGAUGAUACUGCUUUGCUAGAGUGCAGAAGGGGCAAUCGGAAUUCUUGGUGUAGCGGUGAAAUGCGUAGAUAUCAAGAGGAACACCUGAGGUGAAGACGGGUUGCUGGGCUGACACUGACGCUGAGGCGCGAAAGCGUGGGGAGCAAACAGGAUUAGAUACCCAAGUAGUCCCUGAGCGGGCUGGCAAGGCGCAU